rnacentral:rRNA from 1 species
UACGGGGGGAGCAAGCGUUGUUCGGAUUUACUGGGCGUAAAGGGCGCGUAGGCGGCGUAACAAGUCACUUGUGAAAUCUCCGGGCUUAACCCGGAGCGGCCAUUGAUACUAUUUAUCUUGAAUACUUUGGAGGUAAGCGGAAUAUGUCAUGUAGCGGUGAAAUGCUUAGAUAUGACAUAGAACACCAAUUGCGAAGGCAGCUUACUACACAGUGAUUGACACUGAGGCACGAAAGCGUGGGGAUCAAACAGG